rnacentral:rRNA from 1 species
ACGUAGGUGGCGAGCGUUAUCCGGAUUUACUGGGCGUAAAGCGUGUGCAGGCGGGCUGUCAAGUGGUGUAUGAAAUCGCUCGGCUUAACCGGGCGCGGUUAUGCCAGACUGACAGUCUGGAGUGCGGGAGAGGGGCGUGGAAUUCCGGGUGUAGUGGUGAAAUGCGUAGAGAUCCGGAGGAACACCAGAGGCGAAGGCGGCACACUGGGCUGCACCUGACGCUGAACCGCGAAAGCCAGGGGAGCGAACGGGA